rnacentral:rRNA from 1 species
GACAGCAGUAGCCGCGGGAAUACAGAGGGUGCGAGCGUUAAUCGGAUUUACUGGGCGUAAAGCGUGCGUAGGCGGCUUCUUAAGUCGGAUGUGAAAUCCCUGAGCUUAACUUAGGAAUUGCAUUCGAUACUGGGAAGCUAGAGUAUGGGAGAGGAUGGUAGAAUUCCAGGUGUAGCGGUGAAAUGCGUAGAGAUCUGGAGGAAUACCGAUGGCGAAGGCAGCCAUCUGGCCUAAUACUGACGCUGAGGUACGAAAGCAUGGGGAGCAAACAGGAUUAGAUACCCCAGUAGUCCCUGUCUCUUAUAU